GUCGUGGAAUCGUUCACCCACUUCAGUGCAAAAAAAAAUCGCUAGAAGCAUAAGAGAAAAAAAUCCGUGUGUUUCUUUGUACGUGUUUGUGUGAGUCGCUGUAAGUGUGUGUGUGUGUGUUCGUGUAUGUGUGUGUGCGGCCUUUGGCUUUCCUACGUCUGCUGUGUGAUUCACGCACAUGGGCUGGAUGCUGAACGGUUCGAUGGUCUCUAGCUCGCUCCAUCAGCCGUCCACGUUGCUGCGGGCGUCUCUGUCGUUUUCUUCCUUUUGGUUAUCCACGAUUUCUCCGGCUGUUCAUCUCUUGUGUGAUGGUAUGGUUGGCGCGAUGUGAUGGUAUUGGAUGCUUCCUCCGAUGCUCCGAAACCGUACGGGGAGAAUAAAGGCAGCCAACACACAUACCAAACACUGCUACAUUCAAGCAUCUAAGCGUAGGAGCGGAGUUGGCUGGAGAUUGUGAAACGGUAUAGAACAAUAACAGAUCGCCACGACCGCAACUAUUCAGCUAGAAGCGAGACCACAUCACGGAACGGCAGUGUUAUUACUCUGUGAAUUGUGUGCGGUUUUUAUUUGCUAAUAAGUGCAGUGCUAUGAGCAAAUUUCCUGAAAGUGUGGUGACACCGUAAAAAAAUAGUGUGCUUCUAAUACACAGAGGCGGCAGUGUUCGAAAAAAACCGGCGUCGUUUCGAUUCCGAAUGCGAUUACGAAAUGUGCUUAGUUAGUGGUUAAAAAAUAAUAGUCGAUGUGUACCAGCGGCGCUUUUAGUCGGUGAAGCAUCUCCAUGUGCAUAUGAUUAGUGCGUGCGUGCAUGCGUGCGGGCAAAAAGUGAAAGUGUUCUCGCUCAUAGGGCUCAUCUAAAUGGUGCAUUUCGUCGCCAACAGCAGCAGCAGUAGCAGCAGCAGCAGCAGCAAUGACGCAUGUAAAGGAGGAGCUGUCCAAGGAUGUUACGCCGGCGGGCGACGGAGGCGGCGGUACCGGUGUCGGUGCCGCAACCGGGUUCCAUAAUCACCCGUCGCAGCCGCAGCAUCAUCACCACCAGCAGCCGCCACAAUCACUUCCCCCGCAUAAGGAGCAUCCGCUCGAGCUGGCGGACGAUCACAUGAAGUACGUCUUUUCGGAAAAUGCGCCCCAAACCGCCGGAUCUCAGGCGGCGCAGGCCGCCCAGCUGAUCGGUGGCGGCGUCAGCUCUGGCGGUGUGGGUAUCGGUGCGAAUCCGCUGGCCGGCAGAAUAAUGCUAGAAUACCAACGACCCACCGGCGGUGGCCACUCGCGCUCGGUCAGUCAUGGCGAAGGUUCGUUCGGCGGAUCGUUGGUGGGAAGCGGUGGCGCGGCCGGCCGACCUUCAGCCCUGAAGUCGGCGGUCAAGGGCGGUCACCAGCGGGCUCUCUCGCAGGGUCAAAUCAUGGAUGCCCCAACGAUUGCCACACGGGGCCACAGCCGGGUUGGGUCGAAAACGGAUUUUAUUUUACCGCCCGGGCACAAGGACCAAUCGGAGCAGCGCGAUACUGCCGCUCCCCACUCUGCCACCUCCAUCAAGGGCCACUCGCGGCAAGCGUCACGAUCGGAGUCGAUCUACACCUUACGCCGGGCGGACAAGCCGCCCUGGUGGAAGCGUCUGAUGUUCUGUCGCACGGCCAGCAGCAAGCUGGAGGACCGAGGCUACCGGAUCGUGGUCCCGAACCAUACGGUGCCGCCCAAGACGCCCAAACGGGACCACCCGAAUGGGCGCCUGUGUGGUAACAAGAUUCGCACCACCAAGUACACGCUGCUCUCGUUCGUGCCGAAAAACCUGCUCGAACAGUUCCACCGUAUCGCGAAUCUGUACUUCAUCUUCAUCGUGCUGCUGAACUGGUUCCCGCAGAUCAAUGCGUUCGGGAAGGAGAUUGCCAUGAUCCCGGUACUGUUUGUGCUCGGUGUGACCGCGAUAAAGGAUCUAUUUGAGGAUCGCCGGCGGAAAGCGUCCGAUAAGCGCAUCAACAACUCGACCUGCCGCGUGUACAACGGUGAAUCAGAACGAUACAAGAAAGUCCUUUGGCAGGAUGUUCGUGUGGGCGAUCUCGUACAUUUGUCCAACAACGAAUGUGUACCGGCUGACAUACUGCUGCUCAAGUCGAGCGAUCCGCAUGGUGUGUGCUACAUCGAUACGUGCGAUCUGGACGGAGAAACCAAUCUGAAAAGACGCCAGGUGGUACGAGGCUUCGUCGAGAAGCAGCACAGCUUCGCACCGAACAAGUUCACCAGCCGAAUCGAAGUCGAUGCACCGUCAACGAAAAUCUACCGCUUCCACGGUGCUGUGAUACAUCCUUCCGGGGAGCGAGUACCGGUUUCGACGGAAAGUUUGCUGCUUAGAGAAAGUCGCCUAAAGAACACGGAUUACGCAGAAGGAAUCGUUGUGUACGCUGGACACGAAACGAAGGCAAUGCUCAACAACAGUGGCCCCAGAUAUAAGCGAUCCCGUAUCGAGCAGCAGAUGAACAUCGAUGUGAUAUGGUGCGUUAUCAUACUGAUUGUGCUGUGCAUCGUCGGUGCGGUGGGAUGCAAGCUGUGGCUUUCCUUCUAUGCAACCGAUUCCGACGGUACGUCCAGUGGUACGAACAACGAUACAUUCCGCAUACCUUUCCUACCGUUCGAGAUCAAUCCCGACUACGAGGGUUUGCUAGCGUUCUGGACGUUCGUCAUUAUUCUGCAAAUUAUGAUACCGCUCUCCCUGUACGUUACAAUCGAGCUGUGCAAACUGAUGCAGGUAUACCACAUACACAACAACAUUGAGCUGUACGAUCCGGAUUCGAACAAGCGAACCGAAUGCCGUGCAAUGAACAUCACGGAGGAGCUUGGUCAGAUACAGUACGUCUUCUCGGACAAAACGGGCACGUUGACGGAAAAUCGCAUGAUAUUCCGACGGUGCACGAUCGUCGGCGUGGACUACAACCAUCCGGAAACGGAGGAAGAGAAGGAGCUGAACAAAAUAGGUGCACCUGUACCGAUUCUUCAGCCCAAUCUGAACUUGCUGGAGAAUUUCCGCGGCAAUUCCCAGUCCUCGCUAGAAACGGCAGCAAACCAAGUGGUGGGUGGUCGGAAUACUGGCGAUGGUGGAAGCGAAACCGUCACCAAUCAAAUACAGGAAUUCUUUCUGGUGCUAGCUAUAUGCAAUACAGUGGUGGUUAGUGCGACUCCGCACCGAGAUAACAUGAAUGCGAGCGGCGUGAUCGAAAUGAACGAUAGCGAUACGAGCGUUACGCUUGUGCGGCCUGCUUUGGUGGACACGGACGGUGGCAGUCUCCCGCUGACGGCGUGCGACCCAACGAUCGGUGAUCGGUAUGCCCGAUUGACGGAGUCUCGGUCCAUAACACCUUCUCCGCCACCGAACGCACCGUCGUCGUUGCCUCUCAAGGCGGCCCAUGUGCCAUCCCUGUCGCCGAUCAGCAGUUCGGCCGAAACAUCGCCCAUGUCCGAGAGUCCGCCGAUGCGGAUAAAAUCGCUGACUACGCCUACGGCGAAGGUGAAAUCGCUCGUAGCAAAGCUAGGCAACGUGGCAAGCAGCGCAAAGGGCGGUGGCGUUUUUAAAAGCGCCGACAGGAGCAGUACGGGCAGCACCAGUAGUAGUAAGAAUCGAUUCGCUUCGAACAACAGCAGCAGUGGCGCUUCGAAAUUCCACAAGUCCUUUUCACAGGGCUCCUCAUCGCCUGCCUCCAGUCGACCAAUUUACGAAGCAGAAAGCCCUGAUGAGCUGGCGCUUGUCAAUGCCGCCUUUAGCUACGACUGCUGUUUGGUGAACCGAAGCCCAAACCACGUCCUCGUUAGUGUGCCCGGCGAAGGCGUCAUAGAGUACGAGGUGCUGAAAGUGCUUCCCUUCGAUUCUGCCCGCAAAUGCAUGUCCGUGGUUGUACGGCGAACGGGGACGCAGGAUGUGGUGCUGUACACGAAGGGUGCGGACAGUAGCAUCAUCCCGAAUCUGGUACCUUGCACGCCGGGCUCGGAAGAGUAUCGUUUGCGCGAGCAGACGCAGCAUCAGUUGGAUGUGUACGCACGGCAAGGACUGCGUGUCCUAGUCAUGGCCAAGCGCAAGCUGGAUGCGACCGAUUUUAGCGAAUGGUACAGCAAGCACGAGGAAUGCGAACUAAGCAUGGAGAAUCGGGAGCGCAAGAUUCGAGAAUCGUUCGGAAUGCUCGAAAGAGGCCUGACGCUCGUGGGGACCACCGGCAUUGAGGAUCGUUUGCAGGAGGGCGUUCCCGAGACAAUCACCUCGCUGCUACAAGCCGGUAUCGUGAUUUGGGUGCUGACGGGCGAUAAAGCCGAAACGGCCAUUAACAUUGCCUACUCGGCGAAGCUGUUCAACUCGCAGAUGGACAUCCUUAAACUGACUGCCCGAUCGCGCGAUUCGGCGGAAGCGAGUAUAAACUUUUACCUCAACGAAAUAGAAAAGCAGCUCAACUCCAACGGUGGCUCCAGCGAUGCAGACGAUGCGUUUGAUCAGCUGGAUAAAGCACGCGCACUAGUCGUGGAUGGGAAAACGCUCACCUUUAUACUGGAUUUGCGAUCCAACCUCACCAAGCCAUUCCUAAGACUGACCCGUUACUGUUCGUCUGUGCUGUGCUGUCGGGCGACACCACUGCAGAAGGCGUUCCUCGUGAAGGUGGUGAAAGAGGAGCUUCGUAUCAGCACGCUUGCCAUCGGUGACGGUGCAAACGAUGUCUCUAUGAUUCAGAUGGCCGACGUUGGCGUGGGUAUCUGCGGACAGGAAGGCAUGCAAGCAGUUAUGGCAUCCGAUUUUUCAAUCGCCAAGUUCAAAAUGCUGGAAAAGUUGUUGCUUGUACAUGGACACUGGAAUUACGAUCGAUUGGCGCGCAUGAUCAUCUACUUUUUCUAUAAAAAUGCGGCAUUCGUGUUUCUUUUGUUCUGGUACCAAUUUUACUGUGGAUUUUCCGGUGCUGUCAUGAUUGAUCAAGUGUACUUAAUGAUCUAUAAUUUGCUGUUUACGGCCCUUCCCCCGCUGGCAAUUGGGGUGUACGAUAAGAAGAUUAUUGACGACCUUCUUCUGGCGUAUCCGCAGUUGUAUCAGCAUGGACGUCGGGGGAAAGGCUACAAGUGGUCUACCUUUUGGAUUGUGAUGCUCGAUGCAGUGUACCAGAGUUUGGUGAUAUUUUUCGUAGCAAAGGCAGCGUACUGGGGAUCGGACGUGGAUUUAUGGGUGUUUGGCACAACGAUUACGUCCUCCUGCUUGUUUACGAUGCUGCUACACUGUGCCAUAGAAAUUAAAUCAUGGACAAUCUUGCAUGUCUUAUCGAUAGUGAUUAGUUUGGUGUCGUUCUAUGCGUUUGCAUUUGCGUACAAUUCGGUUUGUGUCAACUGCUUCGGGUUGCCGUCCAAUUAUUGGGUUAUUCAUAUGAGCAUGAGUACAAUACAGUAUUAUCUGAUUACGCUGCUUACUUCCGUACUUGCCCUGCUGCCACGAUUCACGUAUCGUGUCAUCAAAAAUACCAUUUGGCCCUGCGAAGGCGUACGGGUGACACUGCAGUACAAAGAAGAAAAACGAAGAGGUGAGAAUCUGCUGGUAACCUGGUCUCGUUCGACGUCUGCCUCAUCCAUAUUCAGGUACUUAACACACACAACCUCAAGCAAUCACUCGAAAUCCAGUACGCUGAUCACGAGAAAGCGUUCCGCUACGACCACUGCCGUCGGUGGAAUACUCGAGCGCAACGCUCCACGGCAGCGAUUUGGCUAUUAGGCGAAUGUCGAUGUCGUCGGUCUCGCCAUAGCUUCUACCCAGCGUGAACCCAGCAACAGAUCCCAAUGAAAUGUCAAUGGAAUGUUGGGAAAGAAUUGGAAACGCGCGCAUAUCAGCAUGUGCACAUUUGUCCUCAAUCCUCAAUCUCUGUGUCUAUUUUCGAUCACUACAAGCGGUCUGCAGUAGAAAGCGAUUUGUUAACAGGCCUGGGGAACCUCCCAUUACAGGACUUCGCAUAAGGCUGUAGACGGCAGAUAACAUGGCGCUUGCAGCAAAAUUAAGUAUACAGAUAUAAAAUGUUUGCCAAUCGCCCCGUCCCGUUGUCAUUCUUUGCAUUGGUAUGAAAAGCUUUUUCCAAUUCGGGCGGCUUUGCAGUCCAAUGGCUUUUUAAAAGGGAUAAACAUAGAUAACACAAACUCUACGCUGAUAGAACGUCAAAUUACGCAUAGAAACAAACGAUGCUACUUUCCAGUGAUACCCAAGAAAAAAAAAACAAUCAAUCAAACAAAAAGUAACUUUAAAGGAACAUUGUUCUAGCGGCCUUAUCACGUAAUAUAUGCUACAUGUACUGAAUUUCUUUCUCAAAGAAGAAGAGCAUACAGCAAAGUGAAGUAAUCGUCCAUAUCCUAACACCCUUUAUGUAUCAUAACAAUGGACAAGCUCGCAAACUUGUAAGUGAGACACUUUAUACGGAUACGAUCAUUGAAAUGAAGCAUUGCGUGAGAGCAAAAGUGUAAUUUAUUAACAAAUUAUGGUUUUACAUGUGAGCAAAAAGGUAGGAGAGCAAAUGCUUCAAUAAGAUUUUUGAUGUUUCGUUGUUUGCGAGGGGUAAAGAGCUCACGCAAGCGCGGAUAGGUAAAAGUAAAUGCUGCGACCACGGCUGUGAAUGUGAAUGCUUAACUGGAGCGCUCCCGAAAAGAACUGCGAUUUUGCGACACACGAG